UCGAGAAUCUUCGGCAAUGGGCGCAAGCCUGACCGAGCGACGCUACGUGCGGGAUGAAGGCCCUUGGGUUGUAAACCGCUGUCAGAGGGGAUGAAAGCGAAAGCUUGACAGAGCCUCAGAGGAAGCGCGGGCUAAGUUCGUGCCAGCAGCCGCGGUAAUACGAACUGCGCAAACGUUAUUCGGAAUCACUGGGCUUACAGGGUGCGUAGGCGGCUGUCCAGGUCCGAUGUGAAAUCCCACGGCUCAACCG
rnacentral:rRNA from 1 species